UCGCUACCACGCGUGAGAACACGAGGGUUCCGCCGCCGCCGCCACAGCACCCACAUCCAUCCUCUCCGUGGUGCACGUCCUCCCUCCGCUGUCGUCGAAUCCGGUCGAGAUCGGCAGGAUUCGCCGCAUCUCGCGCGACGCCCAUCCCAUGCACCCAGCCCACGCCAACGACAGCUGCCCAGCACCCUCGAUGGCGCGCGCCUCCAGCAUCCUAAGCAUCAGCGGCCACCUCCCUGGGAGAGCUCCUCCUACCUCCGGCGGAGGCGCAUGAGCCGAGCCCGGCCAUCAAACGCCCGUGGCCGUGGCCAACAGCAACCUCCAGGCCACGUCAGCGUUCGGUGGCCAACUCUUGAUGAAUUUCCAAUGUGCCUCCAUCCUUCCUUUUUCUCCGGGAAUCUACUCCAAUGAGUGAAUCAUAGCCACCAAUAAGCAGGCACCCAGUGAAGAUGUCACACUUUGAUGCGAAAUGCCUGAUAUCACAUUCAUCACUAGGAAGGGUCAAGAUGUACCGCAUCAAAGGCAUCGGCAGUGCUACAAGAGUUGAAGAAAGAAGAGUAUUUGGUGUUGUUACUACUAUCUGUGAAGUGUCAAAGCUGCCGAAGAAGACAUGCCACAAUUUCUCUUUGUGUUCUGAUGCCGAUAAAUAAACCCAAGAGUGAGAAAGAUGUUAGCGAAUAGAUAAAAAUAGCUAACCGGACUGAUGUCAGAAAACUAUUAUGGUAACAAUAAACUAUACUAUGUUUUAGGGAACUAUAUAACAAAGUCGUUUACUGUGGUAGAAAAAAGUAGUACAGUCAAUCUUGUGCCUUUACAACCAAGAAACAGGGGAUAUGGUGUGCAAAAAAUAGCACAUGAUGAAAGCACAGACUUCAAAUGAAUGCUCAUGUCUUCUUUCUAUAAAAACAACUCUUAUCAUAUUGUGAUUGAUUACAAGAACUGCACUUAAUUGAUUUGUUUUCUGUUAGGCAGAAAAUAUGUUGUUGUGGGGAUUCUAAAAAGCUUGAGGUGGUACUGACCGGGAAGCAGUUUAUGGAGUUAUUCGAGGUAUCAUCUUUUUGAUAUAGAGCUGACAUUCCGAUUGUGUACUACAAACUUGAACUGACAUGCAGGCAACUUCAUUUCAAGCAUCGGGUUGACUUGAGGCCUGACACCAGUGAGGUAAGAGAGGACAGUUCAUCGCGGUGGCCGUUGACAACGGCCAGGACGCCAGGUUGCCCGUCUACCAUCUUCUCCAGCCUGCUUCAUAUGUUGUCCUUCUCCCCCUCUGCUUUUUUUAGUAUGUCUCUCACCUCCGUUUCUUUCUCUUUACAGAAAAAACUAGCACGUCUCUCUCCCUCGUGUGAGUGUUGAAUGAGUCGUGUGAAAUUUUCGUGUAACAUUUCUAUGCCCAAUACAUGCCAGGGCGUCGUCGCCACUCUGUGCCUGCCGCAACGUCAGCCCUCCCAUUUUUGCACUGUCGCCACCACCGACGCGCUAGCCCGUGCAGCCACCUCAAGGGUCCUCCACCACCCAUGCCAUGUCCCAUGUGUGACGCGAGAUCUGCCUCAUCGGGCAAGGACACCAGAACCUUGGCUGCCAUCUCACACGCGUCGGCGUGCACCUCGGUGUGCGAUGAGAAUGAUGCAUGUUCCCAAUGGGACAUCUUUCUUCAGCAAAUUUUAUGUUCUUACAAGGAUAGUUUACAAGAUCGUGGUAUUAUCGUUACAGCUACCGGUGACAUGGUUUUCAGUAGCCAUGGCGACAUCAGGUGAUCCUUAUGAGCAGAAUCAUCAUGGCAAACAAACGGGUCAAUAGAAUUCAUAAAGUUGCAGUUCAUUUGCUCCAUUCAAAUAAUGCUUUCAGUUUCAAUGAAAAUUGUUAACUAGACUCCCAUGAUUGCGGUGGUGUAGUAUUCUGCAAAAAGUAGCUUUUGUGGCCUUUUAAUGUUUUCAUUCACAUCCAUGGUCAUAUUGCCUGACAAGAUGCGAGUUAUCAGCCACUUAGUUCUCAUCUUUAUUUCCAUCACACUUGGACAAUUAGUUAGCUCUGUUGCAUCAUGCUUCUGGAUAAUGAAUAAAAUGAUGUACCGCUUUGAUUACUUCUUCAUCAACCUAUGUUCCACUCAACAUUCCUCUUUUGGAUUACUUCUUCACCAACUUAUGCUCCGCUCGCUUUAAAAAAAACUUAUGCUCCACUCUACAUUUAUAUCAUGGAAAAAUAGUUGUCUAUAGUGACCUUGUAUAUAGUUGUUUCGGCGGGCAUGGUGUUUGCAUUUUUCUCUUAUUUACCCAUUGCAACGCAUGCGCCCUUUUGCUAGUAACUUCAACUCCUGGAACAUCUCAUAUGCUCCAUGACACUCAAAACGACGUUGAAGUCCCGGUUCUAAGCCGUAAAGCAUGGCACACUGAACUAUCGAGUAGUCGGAUACGUCUCCAACGUAUCUAUAAUUUAUGAAGUAUUUAUGCCAUGUUUACAAUAGUUUUAUAUGAUUUUGGUAUGAUUUGAUUAGAACUAACCCGGAUUGACGUUGUUUUCAGCAGAACUACCAUGGUGUUGUUUUUGUGUAGAAAUAAAAGUUCUCGGAAUGCGAUGAAAAUCAACGGAGAAUUUUCUGGAAAAUAUAAAAAAUACUGGAACGAAGAGUUACCGGAGGGGAGGCCCGUGGGCCCCACGAGGGUGGAGGGUGCGCCCCUGUGCCUAGUGGACUCCCCGUGGGGCCCCUGUACAAAUUAUUUAAAUUUUCAUAUUUGUUUAGAACUUUUUGGAGUUGCAGAAGUUUACUAAACUUCCAGAUUACUACAGACUGUCCUGAUUUUGACAGAUUCUGUUUUCUAUGUGUUGUUCGCUUAUUUUGAUGAAUCUAUGGGUAGUAUCGGGGGGUAUGAACCAUGGUGAAGUUGGAAUACAUUAGAUAUAGUUCUAAUAUGAAAUUGGAAUAAGUUUGCAACAUUACCUAAAGGUAGUGAUUUGCUUUAUUAU